CGAGUUGGUCAGACAAUCGCUGGUUUAUUGAAGCCCUUAACCGUAGUAAUACGACCUAGCGGGACAAGUAAACGAGAGGAAAGUCCGAGCUACAUAGGGCAGAGUGCCAGAUAACGUCUGGGAGGCGUGAGCCUACGACAAGUGCAGCAGAGAGCAAACCGCCGAUGGCUCGCAAGAGAUCAGGUAAGGGUGAAAGGGUGCGGUAAGAGCGCACCGCAUGGCUGGUAACAGUACAUGGCAGGGUAAACUCCACUCGUAGCAAGACCAAAUAGGAACUCAAUGGGUGUGCCCGCCCAGAGUUCGGGUAGGUUGCUUGAGCGUAUGUGCGAAUAUACGCCUAGAGGAAUGAUUGUCCGCGACAGAACUCGGCUUAUCGACCAACUCAAUCU
rfam:Mannheimia succiniciproducens MBEL55E, complete genome.